rnacentral:rRNA from 1 species
UGAGGAAUAUUGGUCAAUGGGCGAGAGCCUGAACCAGCCAAGUAGCGUGAAGGAUGACUGCCCUAUGGGUUGUAAACUUCUUUUAUAAAGGAAUAAAGUCGGGUAUGGAUACCCGUUUGCAUGUACUUUAUGAAUAAGGAUCGGCUAACUCCGUGCCAGCAGCCGCGGUAAUACGGAGGAUCCGAGCGUUAUCCGGAUUUAUUGGGUUUAAAGGGAGCGUAGAUGGAUGUUUAAGUCAGUUGUGAAAGUUUGCGGCUCAACCGUAAAAUUGCAGUUGAUACUGGAUAUCUUGAGUGCAGUUGAGGCAGGCGGAAUUCGUGGUGUAGCGGUGAAAUGCUUAGAUAUCACGAAGAACUCCGAUUGCGAAGGCAGCCUGCUAAGCUGCAACUGACAUUGAGGCUCGAAAGUGUGGGUAUCAAACAGGAUUAGAUACCCUGGUAGUCCACACGGUAAACGAUGAAUACUCGCUGUUUGCGAUAUACUGCAAGCGGCCAAGCGAAAGCGUUAAGUAUUCCACCUGGGGAGUACGCCGGCAACGGUGAAACUCAAAGGAAUUGACGGGGGCCCGCACAAGCGGAGGAACAUGUGGUUUAAUUCGAUGAUACGCGAGGAACCUUACCCGGGCUUAAAUUGCAGAUGAAUUACGGUGAAAGCCGUAAGCCGCAAGGCAUCUGUGAAGGUGCUGCAUGGUUGUCGUCAGCUCGUGCCGUGAGGUGUCGGCUUAAGUGCCAUAACGAGCGCAACCCUUGUUGUCAGUUACUAACAGGUUCCGCUGAGGACUCUGACAAGACUGCCAUCGUAAGAUGUGAGGAAGGUGGGGAUGACGUCAAAUCAGCACGGCCCUUACGUCCGGGGCUACACACGUGUUACAAUGGGGGGUACAGAGGGCCGCUACCACGCGAGUGGAUGCCAAUCCCCAAAACCUCUCUCAGUUCGGACUGGAGUCUGCAACCCGACUCCACGAAGCUGGAUUCGCUAGUAAUCGCGCAUCAGCCACGGCGCGGUGAAUACGUUCCC